rnacentral:snRNA from 1 species
GUGCAUGUUGGCAGCACAUAUACUAAAAUUGGAAUGAUACAGAGAUCAUCAGCGUGACCCGUUGUGCAAGAAUAACAUACACAUUUGUGAAGUGCUUCAUAUAUAU